rnacentral:lncRNA from 1 species
UCCUACAAAUCUACUAAUAUUAAAUUAAAAAUAAAAGUAGAAGAAAGUAGCCUGAUUGAAGGCAGGUCGAAGCGCGUAGACGCUGUCCCAAAGAAGUAUUUGCCCCCACGUACGGGUCAUCCGGCAAUCCUUCUCGGAGAUACGACGACCCUACAACUUCUUUUUCGGCACGUCUCGGAAGAAGUCAAAGCGAACCCGAUCGAACUUGCAGAUCCAGCAAAGAACGGAAUGAAAA